UACGAACCGAGCGACCGUUGUUCGGAAUCACUGGGCUUAAAGGGCGCGUAGGCGGGUGCUCAAGUCCGUGGUGAAAUCCUCCGGCUCAACCGGAGAACUGCCUCGGAUACUGGGUGACUCGAGGGUGGUAGGGGUAUGCGGAACUAUCGGUGGAGCGGUGAAAUGCGUUGAUAUCGAUAGGAACACCGGUGGCGAAGGCGGCAUACUGGACCACCUCUGACGCUGAGGCGCGAAAGCGAGGGGAGCAAACGGG
rnacentral:rRNA from 1 species